rfam:Triticum aestivum genome assembly, contig: Triticum_aestivum_CS42_TGACv1_scaffold_221987_3B
UUUGUACUUCCUUCGUCCGGAAAUAGUUGUCAUCAAAAUGAAUAAAAUGGGAUGUAUCUAGAUGUAUAUUAGUUCUACAUACAUCUUUUUUUAUCCAUUUUGAUGACAAGUAUUUUCGGACGGAGGGAGUAUCUG